UCGUGGAGUAAUUUGUCUGGUUAAUUCCGUUAAUGAACGAGACCUUAUCUUACUAAUUGGAAAGUGUAUUCUAUACAUGUUUCCUCUUAGAAGAACGGUGAAUUCAUAAUUCAAGGAAGCGUGAGGCAAUAACA
rnacentral:rRNA from 1 species